rnacentral:misc_RNA from 1 species
CUAAGGAAACCAAUAAAAUCAAUCAUCUUCAGUUUUGAAAGACUUAGGAUAACUAAGUUUUUCUUCGUGAC